GACGAACGCUGGCGGCGUGCUUAACACAUGCAAGUCGAACGGAAAGGCCCUGCUUUUGUGGGGUGCUCGAGUGGCGAACGGGUUAGUAACACGUGAGUAACCUGCCCUUGACUUUGGGAUAACUUCAGGAAACUGGGGCUAAUACCGGAUAGGAGCUCCUGCUGCAUGGUGGGGGUUGGAAAGUUUCGGCGGUUGGGGAUGGACUCGCGGCUUAUCAGCUUGUUGGUGGGGUAGUGGCUUACCAAGGCUUUGACGGGUAGCCGGCCUGGGAGGGUGACCGGCCACGUAGGGAAUGAGAUACGGCCCAGACUCGUACGGGAAGCAGCAGUGGGGAAUAUUACACAAGGGGCGGAAGCCUGUUGCAGCAACGCCGCGUGCGGGAUUAGGGCCUUCGGGUUGUAGACCGAUUUCGCCUGUGACGAAGCGGGGGUGACGGUAAUGGGUAAAGAAGCACCGGCUAACUACGUG
rnacentral:rRNA from 1 species